rnacentral:rRNA from 1 species
GAUGAACGCUGGCGGCGUGCCUAAUACAUGCAAGUCGAGCGAACGGACGAGAAGCUUGCUUCGCUGAUGUUAGCGGCGGACGGGUGAGUAACACGUGGAUAACCUACCUAUAAGACUGGGAUAACUUCGGGAAACCGGAGCUAAUACCGGAUGAUAUUUUGAACCGCAUGGUUCAAUAGUGAAAGACGGCCUUGCGGUCUCUUAUAGAUGCAUCCGCGCUGCAUUAGCUAGUUGGUAAGGUAACGGCUUACCAAGGCAACGAUGCAUAGCCGAGCUGAGAGGCUGAUCGGCCACACUGGAACUGAGACACGGUCCAGACUCCUACGGGAGGCAGCAGUAGGGAAUCUUCCGCAAAGGGCGAAAGCCUGACGGAGCAACGCCGCGUGAGUGAUGAAGGUCUUCGGAUCGUAAAACUCUGUUAUUAGGGAAGAACAUAUGUGUAAGUAACUGUGCACAUCUUGACGGUACCUAAUCAGAAAGCCACGGCUAACUACGUG